rnacentral:lncRNA from 1 species
CGACCGCUUGGGUCCUCCGCGGGGCAGCCUCGGGGAGGGUGGCUGCAGGGCCCGGAGUCGCCUGGAUCGCAGCGCCAUCUCGUGGCUGCUGGCAGGUCUGCCUUGGGCCCUCUUGGCACAAGGCAAGGAAACAGGAGCUCUUCCCAUCAGUGACAGGUGCCCGCCGGCCCGCACCCAGGAGAAUGCUCCAGUGUCACCAGUGACUCCUGCUCCCACAUCUGCCUACAGGAAGCCCUCUUGGAACAAAAGCAUCUCACUUCUGGGAGGCAUCAAGUCAAGGGAGAAGCAGUGAUGUUUUAGUAUCCAGAAAGUGGAAAUAACCCAAAUGCCCAUCAACAGCAGAAUGAAAUUGUACUAUAUUCACACCAUGGAAUAUUGUAUAGCAAAGAGAAUGAAUGAACUAUUAACAGAAAAGACAUGGACAAAUCUCAUAAACAUGAUGCUGAAAGAAACCACAGUCAAAAAAGAAGAUGCUUCCCAACCUUUUGCAGACCAUGGCAUACGCAGAAAAUGACAACAUCGGAAUGGCACACUGGCAUACCAGUUGGGGAUCCUUGCAGUCAAUGCUGACUGGACUCAUCCUUCAGCCGCCCCCAAGAAGAGAGAGAUCAAUACCUUGGCACAUCUGUGGGAAAGCUCCCAUUAGAGAGUGUGGGGAAGACACAGGCCUCCACAACACAUUUCAGGUUCUCUAAACUGGCAAAGGGGAAGAGUCUGGGCUUCCUUUGCCCUUUUGUUCUCAAAGAGCCCAGCUGUGCACACCCCUCACCCCUGCACUAUAGCUCCCAUUUGGGUAGUGAAAAAUCACAGGACUCAGGGGAGUUAUGCAGCAUUCGGGAAUGGAGACCUGGAAAGCCACACACUCCUCCUUGCUUUCCUGUGAGCCUCUCUUCUUGCUGUCCCCUUUACAACCAACAGUCCCUGCAGGGGGAAGACACUCUGCUUUAGUCAGUUCCACCUCCCUUCCAGAUCUCAUCCUCCUUUCAGCCUAAUUUUCCUCACACUGUCAUGCUCCUUCCCACUGCUCGCCCCCCACCCCCUACUCUCCUCCAGCACAUCACACAUUGCGCCUGGGCACACUGAGCUUGUCUGCCAUCUAUGAAGAGGCCCAUGUCACCCAAGCCCUUCUCUUUCCCUGUCAUGCCAUAGCCUCUUCCAGGAGCGCUCAGCCUGCUGUUUCUGCUCAGACCUCCCCUCCUCUGCAAAGCCUCCUUCUGCGUGCUGCCCGAGAGCCAUCCCCCACUUGGGUUUGUGUUACUGCUGUGUAUGGCAGCAUCUUCACUGUGCCUGAUUUCCCGUCUUGGCCCAUCGUAGGUGCUCAACAAUUGUUUCUCAAAUGACCAGCGCCUGCAGAGGGACCCUGACAUGAACUCCACCCCACCCCGACUCUUGGCAGUUACUCACUGUCCCCUUGAGUCGGGAUCCCAGCCCCUCAGGGGACCUGUCUUGCAGCCAUUCCACGCUCUGUCACCCCACUGCCAGGAGACUAGAGCCACACUGCCUGGAUGACGCUCAUCUUUACCAGCUCGCAGCUCUGCCAGCUGCCUGCUCAGGGGUGGCCGCCAGCUGAGGGAUUGAGCUGAUUAUAGGUGAAUCAGCACCAGGCUGAUUGUGGUGUGAAAAAGGGGAAGGGUGACUGUGUCUUAGCCUCAAUCCUGGCUCCCCUCCUUCCAGCCCUGACCUGCAGUAACAGCACAGGGCCACCAGAGGCUCUAUUGGGCGACUCAUGCCCCGCGGAGAAAGGCCCAGUAGGAGAGCAUCUGACCCAGUUCCCAGCAGAUGAGAAAGGAAGAAGAGUUCAGGAGGCUUCUACUCUCAGAGGUCUCCAGCACUGAAACCCCGCAGCCGCACCUGGCUGCCUUAUCCUUGUGUUUUGCCCCUCAUGGGUCUAGAAGCUGUUGUGUUACACCUUAACAUCUUCCUCCUUGCUUGCCAUGAGCCCCUCUGCUUGCAGCCCCCUUUACAGAACAACAGUCAUGGUAGAGGGAAGAUGUCUCCACUUUUGUCAGUUCUGCCUCCUUUAGGAGAGUGUCAGGCCUAACCCAUGUGUGCUCUGUCUUUCAGGGCAUGGAAAAGACUAUUGUCCUGUUUCGUCUUUUCAACACCUCUUGACUCUCUCCCCCUGGUUUCCUAACAGCCAGCUAGGUUCAGGGCCUCCCAUCUCUGGCCAGGAUUAGUGCAAUGGCUUUCUGAAGGGUCCCAGGCUCCAGGGAGCCCCUUGCCCAUCAAGUCUCUACCCUGGAGCCAGACAGCCCUUACUUCCAUCAGACAUCAGCCUCCAGUGGCUCCGAAAGGCCAGGCAUCCACACAGCACCCCACGGCCCCAAGAACUGGCUGCUUGAUUUUCCUGCCCUGUGUCCCUCCUCUCCUUGGCCCUCUACCCAGCAAUCACCCCAAAACACUGUGAUGUUUCAAGCCUUUGUACUUUGCACACAUUCUUCUCCAUGGCCUAAUUCCCUCUCUCCACCCCUCACUCCACACCUCCUCCACCUUUACCCUUUCUCCCCAUUCUUUCUUCACCGGGCACAGCCCUACUUAUCCUUCAAAACUGCCACUUCCUCUGCGAAGCCUUUCCUGACCCGUGUCCCAGAAUCCCUCCUCUGAACAAAUCCUGUUCCCUAAACAUGCAUCUCUCAUUGUAUCUGUCACUCAAGGGUUGCAAUAAUUACACACACGCCUGUCCUUUGUCCUCCACUGGCUCUGUACCUCCAUGUGGGACCCAUGGCCAGCACACAUUGGUGGUGCCCGAAAGCUGUUGCACUGGAGUUGUUCCUUCUGCCCCAUCACCUCCCACCUUGAACAAGUCCUUUAGAUGACCUGAACUCCAGUUUGUUGAUCUGCAAAAUGGAGAGAUGUGAGAAUCAGAAGAGAACACGUAAUGAAAGGGUGUUAUAAACUGCUAAGGGCUGUACAAAUGUUUGUAUUGCAUUUUUGUCUUCCAGACUAGUGUUUACCUACACUUGCCUGUGUGGAAAUCAGAAGAUUAAAGGAAUGCGAUGUGAUCUUUUUGUAAUUUCCCCACUUGGGUCAAGGGAAAAGCUGGUCAAGAGUAAACCAUUAAUUCAUCCCCCUGCAGGCCCCCCAAUCUUCCCUAGAAUUCUGGGUUAAUGAUUCUGAGGUUGUUUUCCUCACAGAGCCAAUUCAUAUCUAAUCUUUGGCAUGUUCCCCCCUUUAUUAAGAAUAACUUGACUCACCCCAUUAAUUCCUCAUCCUGGGGUCACGAGCCUUGUUUUGCAGAAGGAAAUGGUGGCUGUGUGUAUGUCUUGGGCCUUCUUUCUUUCUCAAACCCCUUUCUUUCAUGGAUUCAUGCCUACAAUUCCCUCUGUGGACAGAAGAGACCUCUCCUUACCUGCAUAAUGAAAUGUGUGACUUUUCUCAAAAGUAGCUUUAGGAAUUAACUGUGGAGGUCCAAGUAGCAAGGAUGCUGUGACCUAACUCGUUACCCCCUCACGUGUGGUUUGGAAUCCCAGCAGAAAAAAUUUCCUGAAGAUCUGGUACGGAGAAACCAUUCUGGGCCUGGCUUUUAAAUGUUUUAUUAGCAGCUGGGCGAGGACUGGGCUGCAAAGAGAUGCAGCCCCCGUCAGAAGCGAUCCCUGUUGGGGAGCAAGGCCUGGAAUUCCAGGAGGGAGGUCUGUUUAUAGCUGAGGCAGAGGCUGGGGAGCGAAGCCUGGGAGCCAGACAUGGCUUAAGGGUGGUCUGGACACUCUUGAGAUAAGGCCAACUAAGGACUAUGAGCUCAUUGAAGUUCCAAAGCCAACUCACAGCAGCUCACCACCAGACAUGUCCCCUGCCCCCACAUUCCCUCCUCUCAAUCCAGGAAUUUUGGUGCUCAUCUCUAUAAAGUUUUAGACCAUGGUGGUAGGAACCUGGUAAGUCUCAGGUUCUUGCAUUGCCCGAUUCUCCUUGGAUUUGCUGGGUUUGCCUCCUUCCCAUGUCUCAGACAGGGCUUUGCAUAAAGAAGUGGGCUGGUAGAUCUGCAAAGGUCCCUCUGUGUGACUGGAGCAAGUUACCCUCUUGAGCCUCAGUGUCCUCUUCUGUAAAAUAGGGAUAUCAUUCUUUCUUUCCCAAGGCUUUUGGUAAUAAUGUCAUUCUCAUGUGAUUCUUAACAAAAUGGGCCUUUCAGACUUAGAUCACUUUUGUGCAUGCAUAAAAAUGAAAGCAUUGAGGAGAAGGAAUUGGUGAAUAUAUGUCUGGAGCAAUAACUUCAUCAGAACUGCCACGGUGGUUGUAGGACCAUUCUGAUUCCAGAGGUAUUAAAAUGCAAAACACAAUGUUGAAAUGCAAAACCCAACAAAAUAAUAAACAGCCUUGUACCUACCGCCUCCCUUAAGAACUAAAACAAUUCCCAACACCACUGAAAGACUGUGUUCACCUCCUUGAUCCAAUCUCUUGCCUUUCCACCCCAGAGAAAACCACUGUCCUGAAUUUUUUCCCACUCCCUUGGUUUUGUUUUACCAAACAUGUAUCCAAUAUGUAACAUAUUAUUUGUAUUUGAUCUUGUUUUUGAAUUGUCCUGUAGGUAGAAUUAUAUCUUAUUCUGCAAUUUGCUUUUUAAAGUUUUUGAAAGAGCAAAACUUAUCUAUGCUAAUACGCUAAUGUGUGUAGCUGCCAUUUAUUUGUCACUGCAUAUACCCCUCUCAAUUCUGUUGAUGGAAAUUUAGGCAGUUUCCAGUAUUAUUUUGCUACAAACAUUCUCAUGGCUGUCUCCUGCAACAUGUGUGUUUCUUGGGAGUAUACUUAGGGGUGGAAUUGCUAAGUCUAGACAAUGCUCCUCCCUGUUCUGGUUGCCAACACAUGCUGCUGCUCCCUUACUCCCUCCUAUGAAUAGUGCAAGGGGGUGAGAGUUCUGUUCUUGCUUCGUCUUUGGAUUUUCCAGGGUUG